AGUGAAUAUUUCACGGCCGCGGUACCCUAACCGUGCAAAGGUAGCAUAAUCAUUUGUCUAUUAAUUGUAGACCGGCAUGAAUGGUAAAAGAGGGCCUAACGUCUCUAUAGUAAAUCAAUUAAACGAUUUCUAGUAAAAAGCUAGAAUAAUAACAUAAGACCAGAAGACCCGAAGCAAACUAAACUAUUAAAUAAAAUAAUAACUACUUUCGGUUGGGGCGACCCGGAAAAAAAAAGAACUUCCAAUCUAUGUACAAACACAACAGGCUCACAAGCCACACAUUUGACCCAGCACGGCUGAUAAUCGAACCAAGUUACUCCAGGGAUAACAGCGCCAUCUUCUUCAAGAGCCCAUAUCAAAAAGAAGGUUUACGACCUCGAUGUUGGAUCAGGACAUCCUAA
rnacentral:rRNA from 1 species